GGCCUCAUGGCACAAGGGCAGUGUGUCUGACUCUGGAUCAUGAAGGUUGUGCGUUCCAGUCACACUGAGGUCA
rnacentral:tRNA from 1 species